ACCGGGUGGUAAUGCCGGAUGCUCCAGUUGACCGCAUGGUCCUCUGGGAAAGAUUCAUCGGUAUGGGAUGGGGUCGCGUCCUAUCAGCUUGAUGGCGGGGUAACGGCCCACCAUGGCUUCGACGGGUAGCCGGCCUGAGAGGGCGACCGGCCACAUUGGGACUGAGAUACGGCCCAGACUCCUACGGGAGGCAGCAGUGGGGAAUAUUGCACAAUGGGCGCAAGCCUGAUGCAGCGACGCCGCGUGCGGGAUGACGGCCUUCGGGUUGUAAACCGCUUUUGACUGGGAGCAAGCCCUUCGGGGUGAGUGUACCUUUCGAAUAAGCACCGGCUAACUACGUGCCAGCAGCCGCGGUAAUACGUAGGGUGCAAGCGUUAUCCGGAAUUAUUGGGCGUAAAGGGCUCGUAGGCGGUUCGUCGCGUCCGGUGUGAAAGUCCAUCGCUUAACGGUGGAUCCGCGCCGGGUACGGGCGGGCUUGAGUGCGGUAGGGGAGACUGGAAUUCCCGGUGUAACGGUGGAAUGUGUAGAUAUCGAAAAAGAACACCA
rnacentral:rRNA from 1 species